UACGGGGGGGGCAAGCGUUGUUCGGAAUUACUGGGCGUAAAGGGCUCGUAGGCGGCCAACUAAGUCAGACGUGAAAUCCCUCGGCUUAACCGGGGAACUGCGUCUGAUACUGGAGAUCUCGAGUCCGGAAGAGGUGAGUGGAACUCCGAGUGUAGAGGUGAAAUUCGUAGAUAUUGGGUGGAACACCGGUGGCGAAAGCGGCUCUCUGGUCCGGACCUGACGCUGAGGCGCGAAAGCGUGGGGAGCAAACAGG
rnacentral:rRNA from 1 species